rnacentral:tRNA from 2 species
CUUAGUUCAGUUGGUAGAACGUAGGUUUCCAAAACCUGAUGUCGAGGGUUCAAGUCCUUCAG